rnacentral:snoRNA from 1 species
CUGCAAGCCUCCAGCGUGCUUGGGUCUGUGGUGACCCUGUGCAUUCCUGCAGUGCUUGCAAGAGUAUUUUGAGAUGGUUUGAGGCCUUGCCCUGCUUCAUCCAGAGCAAGGUUAUAGAAAUUUCAGACAAUU